AAUGAACGUUGGCGGCGUGGAUUAGGCAUGCAAGUCGAGCGAGAAUGGUUUGGUAGCUUGCUAUUGAACCAGGAAAGCGGCGAAAGGGAGAGUAACGCGUAGUUACGUGCCCCAGGGUUCGGAAUAGCCACGGGAAACUGUGGGUAAUGCCGAAUAACAUCUCCGGAUCAAAGGUGUGAUUCCGCCCUGGGAGCGGACUGCGUCCUACUAGCUAGUUGGCGGGGUAAUGGCCCACCAAGGCAACAAUGGGUAGCGGGUGUGAGAGCAUGACCCGUCUCACUGGGACUGAGACACUGCCCAGACACCUACGGGUGGCUGCAGUCGAGAAUCUUCGGCAAUGGGCGAAAGCCUGACCGAGCGACGCCGCGUGCGGGAUGAAGGCCCUCGGGUUGUAAACCGCUGUCGUAGGGGAGGAAGGCUUCGUGAAGAACGAGGUUUGACCUAUCCUAGGAGGAAGUACGGGCUAAGUUCGUGCCAGCAGCCGCGGUAAAAC
rnacentral:rRNA from 1 species